rnacentral:rRNA from 1 species
CGGGACGGGUGAGUAAUGCUUGGGAAUCUAGCUUAUGGAGGGGGAUAACUACGGGAAACUGUAGCUAAUACCGCGUAGUAUCGGAAGAUGAAAGUGUGGGACCUUCGGGCCACAUGCCAUAGGAUGAGCCCAAGUGGGAUUAGGUAGUUGGUGAGGUAAAGGCUCACCAAGCCGACGAUCUCUAGCUGGUCUGAGAGGAUGACCAGCCACACUGGGACUGGGACACGGCCCAG